rnacentral:rRNA from 1 species
AAUAUUGGACAAUGGGCGCAAGCCUGAUCCAGCCAUGCCGCGUGAGUGAAGAAGGCCUUUGGGUUGUAAAGCUCUUUCGGGCGGAAAGAAAUCGCACAGGCUAAUACCUUGUGUGGAUGACGGUACCGCAAGAAGAAGCACCGGCUAACUACGUGCCAGCAGCCGCGGUAAUACGAAGGGGGCGAGCGUUGUUCGGAUUUACUGGGCGUAAAGGGCGCGCAGGCGGCUCUUCAAGUCAGGCGUGAAAGCCCCGGGCUCAACCUGGGAACUGCGUCUGGGACUGGAAGGCUAGAGAUCGGGAGAGGAGAGUGGAAUUCCCAGUGUAGAGGUGAAAUUCGUAGAUAUUGGGAAGAACACCGGUGGCGAGGGCGGCUCUCUGGACCGAUACUGACGCUGAGGCGCGAAAGCGUGGGGAGCAAAC